GUAAUACUCCAUAGUUCGUUAUUACUGGAAUGUUUUUCGAACGAAAGAUCCGUCGCUUCAGGAUGAGUCUGCGGCCGAUUAGGUAGUUGUUGGGGUAAUUGCCCAACAAGCCUGUAAUCGGUACGGGUUGUGGGAGCAAGAGCCCGGAGAUGGAUUCUGAGACACGAAUCCAGGCCCUACGGGGCGCAGCAGGCGCGAAAACUUUACCAUGCGGGCAACCGUGAUAAGGAAACCCCGAGUGCCAGCACAGGCUGGCUGUCCGCCAGUUUAAACAACUGGCGAAGAAAGGGCCGGGCAAGACCGGUGCCAGCCGCCGCGGUAAUACCGGCGGCUCGAGUGGUGGCCGCUAUUACUGGGCUUAAAGGGUCCGUAGCUUGAUAAUAGGGUCCCUUGAGAAAUCCGCCGGCUUAACUGGCGGGCGUUCAGGGGAAACUUGUUUUCUAGGGACCGGGAGAGGUGAGGGGUACUGCCGGGGUAGGAGUGAAAUCCUGUAAUCCCGGUGGGACCACCUAUGGCGAAGGCAUCUCACCAGAACGGGUCCGACAGUGAGGGACGAAAGCUGGGGGAGCAAACCGGAUUAGAUACCCGGGUAGUCCCAGCUGUAACUAUGUGCGUUAGGUGU
rnacentral:rRNA from 1 species